rnacentral:rRNA from 1 species
GACGAACGCUGGCGGCGUGCUUAACACAUGCAAGUCGAGCGGAAAGGCCCUUCGGGGUACUCGAGCGGCGAACGGGUGAGUAACACGUGAGUAACCUGCCCCAGACUUUGGGAUAACCCUCGGAAACGGGGGCUAAUACCGGAUACGACACAGCUUCGCAUGGGGUCUGUGUGGAAAGUUUUUCGGUUUGGGUUGGGCUCGCGGCCUAUCAGCUUGUUGGUGGGGUGAUGGCCUACCAAGGCGACGACGGGUAGCCGGCCUGAGAGGGCGACCGGCCACACUGGGACUGAGACACGGCCCAGACUCCUACGGGAGGCAGCAGUGGGGAAUAUUGCACAAUGGGCGGAAGCCUGAUGCAGCGACGCCGCGUGAGGGAUGACGGCCUUCGGGUUGUAAACCUCUUUCAGCAGGGACGAAGCGUAAGUGACGGUACCUGCAGAAGAAGCGCCGGCCAACUACGUG